rnacentral:lncRNA from 1 species
AUGAAGUCUUUCUACAGCCCCUGGCAGCCUAUCCCACCCUGCGUUGGGAUCACAAUUUCUGUCCUCUUGGAGUACAGCCAGAAUGUAAGGUGGCUCACCAUGGGUAGGGCUUGGCGUGUAGAUUUAGGGGCUCUGGUUGGGUUGUUCUUUGGCAGGCCAGGCAGGUUACUAUUCCGUUUCUGCUGCGCUCAGCCGUCCUGGAAGCCAGGAAGUCAACCAGCUGAAGAGGUAAGGAUUCAACCCCGUCCCUUCUGUGCCUGUAUACUAUGUGUUCCCACGAGGGCUGUGUACCCUAUAGAAAGCCAAGUUGGGGGUGAGUCGUACAAAAGCUUCUGAAGGAGCUGGGGGAGAAAAAGAUUCCAAGGAGGGUUUGAGGGCAGAGAGGCCUUGAGCUGCCCCAGAUCCCUGCCUCUCACCUUCCAGGAGUUCUUUGAAUGACAAGUACUACCUUCUGCACUCAUGGUCUUCUGUAGAGCUUUAUGUGAUGAAGGUUCCCUCUACAAACUGUUCUAUGCAGAAAUGGAAUGGAAACGUGCAUAAAGCAUGCCGUUCCAAAUGAGUGUACGAGAUGGGUGAGGGGUGGGAAUGGGAGCAAGUUACAAGUGUGCCACACGCCUCUGGGAGACGAUGUUGAGCCACAGCAUACUUCCCAAACUCUUUCCAAAGUCCAUGGAGUAUACCAAACCCUCUGAAAUAUGUGCUCAAGGGCCUAUAGGGACCUUGUCCACUCCAGAACCUACACACAAGAUACAAAGCCCUAGGCUUGCUCUUUGACCUUUUUGUGCUCUGAUCAUGGCCUCUCUGCUUUGCCUAUGUACCCUACUGAGCUUACGGCGCAAUAGCCUUGCACACAUGUACACAUGGCCUGCCUUCUGAAACUCAGAACCUCACCUGUAGUAUUCUCAAGCACCUCUCUUCUGGGUUGUGUAGAGGAGGGUUCCAACACUUUAGUGCCUUUUUUCUCAAGACCCCUUCUGGUCUCCCUACCACAGAAGCUGGAAGGCCAGGUGGCCUCUGAUGAGGACUUGAAGCCAUCUGACGUGGGAGACUCACAGCCAAGGUGAGAGGUGGCCCUAGGUAUUCUCAGGGACAGAGGCCACGUGGGGAGCACGGGCAUGGCAACAGGCAUCUUGUGCCGAUGGCCCUAGGGCCUGCUGACAGGCGGCUCCGGGCACUCUGAGAAUGCUAACAGGGCAUUAGACAAAGCUCGUACGAGGACCGGCAAGUGCAAAUGG